rnacentral:ncRNA from 1 species
UAUCUUUGCCUGCGUAAAGGUGGCCGGACUCCGAUUGGGGGGCGAGGCUGAAAAGGGAAUCCGGUUUAAUUCCGGAGCUGUCCCCGCAACUGUACGCUUCUUUUUACCAGGCGGUCAUUCCCCCUGCCACUGUUUUGAUGUAGGCCACUUAGUAGCCGGCAAAGAAAUGGGAAGGCGACCGACCCGAAGCAAGCCAGGAGACCUGCCUUUGCAUUUCCUAUGUU